CUGGGUUAGUUUAUUAUAUUUCUAAUUACAUGGAGCAAAGUGAAGUCCUGCAGAAUCAAACUAAAAUGUUUUUACGGUAGAUAUGGGGAAUCGAAAUUUCUAACCAUGGCAAAUGUGGGGCACCAACCAGAUAUACGGAAGAGGCUAUCUUCUUUCAAGAUUUUACAAUUCUAUGACAUUGUAAUUAUAUCUUUCUUAUUUGAUGUAAAUAUAUGCUAAUCAUUGUCGGUCAUUUAGAUGAAUAUCUAUAGAGUCGGUAGAUCUUGAUGAUGGCUUAUAGAUAUUGAGUGUGAGCUGUCUUAUUGAACAUGGUUUGAAUUUGUAGGGUGAUUCUUGCCAUGAUGGGAGCAGGUUUCCGAACCAUGUUCAACUAGGUGCCCCUGUCUGAUCAUUUUAGGUUUGGGAUAGUUGGAUACUACAUUUGACACAGAAGAGACUGGCAAGGCAUGCUGAUGAUCUGAUUGGUGUAUAUUUAGAUGACCUUUGAAUGCCUCUCUACCCUCUUGAUCUCUCUUAGAAUAGGGAUCUCUAGCUACCCGCAUACCUAUUCGAUAUCCGCUCGAACACUAUAUGGAUACUAAUAGAGAUUGCCAGAUAGCUAGCUAUCUGGACUUUUGCUCCGUUUUGCCCAAGCUGAUCUUACGAAGCUCGUGCUAUAAAUAAUUUGAUCCGUUCACUCAUAGCUAUAUUACAGACUAUUGCAAGGUGUAUUUGCUUCUUGAAUAUAAAAAUUCAUUUGCCCCUUAGAUGCCGAGGCGCGUUUGUCUACCCCCUAGCCUUCUCCAAGUAGAGAUGCCUUGGUUAGAUUAUCCAUGGUGUGAUAUCAAUGAUUUUAAGUUCUCAAAACAA
rnacentral:sRNA from 2 species